rnacentral:rRNA from 1 species
AUAUCACUAAGCGGAGGAAAAGAAACUAACAAGGAUUCCCUCAGUAACGGCGAGUGAAGAGGGAAGAGCCCAGCACCGAAGCCUGUGGCCAUUUGACCACUAGGCAAUGUGGUGUUCAGGUCAUCUCGCAGAGGCACUGCCCCACUGUAAGUCCAGCAAUGAGUAUGGCAAUUUGAACAUGGCCCAUAGAGGGUGAAAGGCCCGUAUGGGUGGGGUGCAGAUAUGUUAGUGCUUCUCUGAGUAGACCUUGGAGUCGGGUUGUUUGUGAAUGCAGCCCAAAGUGGGUGGUAAACUCCAUCCAAGGCUAAAUACUAACACGAGUCCGAUAGCAAACAAGUACCGUGAGGGAAAGUUGAAAAGUACUUUGAAGAGAGAGUAAACAGUGCGUGAAACCGCUCAGAGGUAAACGGGUGGAGUUGAACUGCAAGCUCUGAGAAUUUAAUUGGUGAGAGUGAUAUAUGCUUGGAUAUAUUGGUUGGCCACGGAGUCUGCUUAGCUGCAGGCCCUGCUUCGGUGGGGUGCGGGAAACCACUUGUCAAGUGCUGUGCGCUCCGUAGGCAAAUCGAAUCAACUCGCCAGUGCACUUUCUCAGAGUCAUCACCACGACCGGCGAUUCGCCUGUCUGCUGGGGUUAAACCGUGUGUUCAACGUCCCUGUGUCGAUGAGUACUCGGGACAGCAGGUAGCUUACAGGGGCCUGCCUUGUGUGAGUGUAAUCGCUAACCCUAGCAGUACUGUGCGUUACGUCGGAGACGGCGGCUUGUGGUGCGUACAUGCACGCCUAGUGGCUGAUGGGUGCGGACUUGGUUGCCAUGUUGCUUGUAAAUGCAGGCCUGGUGAUAGUUCGUGCUUGUUUGUCAUUGGGUUGUGUGUGGGGCACGUUACCGGGCCCAUAGUCUGUGGUGUAGUGGUAGACUUUCCACCUGA